ACACCAUCUCGGCCUUAGGGCUAAGAUCACGUGUAAUAUCUGUUCUUAUCAGUUUAAUAAUACAUUUUUUUUAAAAACUAUGAAGUGUGUAUUCGGUACUCUAU
ensembl:snRNA LOC120099528 U2 spliceosomal RNA